AUACGGAGGGUCCAAGCGUUAUCCGGAAUCAUUGGGUUUAAAGGGUCCGCAGGCGGUCAAUUAAGUCAGAGGUGAAAGCCCAUCGCUCAACGAUGGAACUGCCUUUGAUACUGGUUGACUUGAGUUAUACGGAAGUAGAUAGAAUAAGUAGUGUAGCGGUGAAAUGCAUUGAUAUUACUUAGAAUACCGAUUGCGAAGGCAGUCUACUACGUAUAUACUGACGCUGAGGGACGAAAGCGUGGGGAGCGAACAGGAUUAGAUACCCCAGUAGUCC
rnacentral:rRNA from 1 species